CAGUUCUAAGAGGGAAGUUUAUAAUGAUACAAGCCUACCUCAAGAAACUAGAAAAAUCUCAAAUGAACAACCAGACCUUACAUGUAAAGUAACUAGAAAAGGAAGAACAAACAAAACCCAAAGUUAGUAGAAGGAAAGAAAUAAUAAAGAUCAGAGCAGAAAUAAAUGAAAUAGAGACUAAAAAAAAUAGAAAAGGUUAAUGAAACUAAGAGGUGGUUUCUUGAAAAUAGAAGCAAAAUUGAUAAACCUUUGGACAGACUUAUCAAGAAAUAAAAAAGAGACCCCCCCCAAAAUAAAAUUAGAAAUGAAAGAGGAGAGGGACUUCCUUGGUGGUCCAGUGGGUAAGAGUCCACGCUCCCAGUGUAGGGGGCCCGGGUGUGAUCCCUGGUUGGGGAACUAGAUCCUGCACGUGUGCCGCAACUAAAGAUCCCCUGUGCUGCAACUAAGACCUGAUGCAGCCAAAGUAAAU